GGCGGCGUAGCUCAGCCUGGUUAGAGCGCUAGACUCAUAAUUUAGAGGUCGAGGGUUCGAAUCCCCCCGCCGCCA
rnacentral:tRNA from 1 species